UUUAGUAGUGGGGGAAUAUUGGACAAUGGGCGAAAGCCUGAUCCAGCAAUGCCGCGUGUGUGAAGAAGGCCUUCGGGUUGUAAAGCACUUUUGUCCGGAAAGAAAUCCUUGGCUCUAAUACAGUCGGGGGAUGACGGUACCGGAAGAAUAAGCACCGGCUAACUACGUGCCAGCAGCCGCGGUAAUACGUAGGGUGCAAGCGUUAAUCGGAAUUACUGGGCGUAAAGCGUGCGCAGGCGGUUUGCUAAGACCGAUGUGAAAUCCCCGGGCUCAACCUGGGAACUGCAUUGGUGACUGGCAGGCUAGAGUAUGGCAGAGGGGGGUAGAAUUCCACGUGUAGCAGUGAAAUGCGUAGAGAUGUGGAGGAAUACCGAUGGCGAAGGCAGCCCCCUGGGCCAAUACUGACGCUCAUGCACGAAAGCGUGGGGAGCAAACAGGAUUAGAUACCCUGGUAGUCCACGCCCUAAACGAUGUCAACUAGUUGUUGGGGAUUCAUUUCCUUAGUAACGUAGCUAACGCGUGAAGUUGACCGCCUGGGGAGUACGGUCGCAAGAUUAAAACUCAAAGGAAUUGACGGGGACCCGCACAAGCGGUGGAUGAUGUGGAUUAAUUCGAUGCAACGCGAAAAACCUUACCUACCCUUGACAUGGUCGGAAUCCUGCUGAGAGGCGGGAGUGCUCGAAAGAGAACCGGCGCACAGGUGCUGCAUAGCUGUCGUCAGCUCGUGUCGUGAGAUGUUGGGUUAAGCCCCAACGAGCGCAACCCUUUCCUUAGGGGUCNCAAGACUUUAGUGCAGUAGCACUGGANCCUCGUAGAAUNNNAAU
rnacentral:rRNA from 1 species